UUGGGAUUAAAGACCUGUGCCACCACUGCCCAGCCCUGAAAAUGUCCAGUUCUGAGCCUGAAGGUCCUCCCCAAACCUCAAGAUGAAACCGAGAAGGGUCCUGGGGUAUUUUGACAGUUGGCAGUUGUAUGGGCUGCAGAGGCUGCAUAGGAAUCCAGCCCUUCAGAGCACAACUCAGUUCUGGGAGCCAGGAGUGUAAGAGGAAGGAGGAUCGGGUUGUCAGAGAGAGAACGCCCCCACCUUCCCCCAUCUCCAACAAGCAUCUGGCUCAUCAGCAUCUCCUUGGCAUCUCCCCCUCAGCUCAUCAGCAUCUGUCCAGAAAGGAAAUUCUAUUGCUUUGUUGAAUCACAGCAUCCAGGUUUCUACCUUGCAUUGCUAGGACAUUUCUUAAUUAAAACAAAACAAAACAACAACAA